GACAGAGGGUGCAAACGUUGUUCGGAAUUACUGGACGUAAAGCGCGUGUAGGCUGCUUCGCAAGUCGGAUGUGAAAGCCCUGGGCUCAACCCAAAAAGUGCAUUCGAAACUGCAGAGCUGGAGUCCUGGAGAGGAAGGCGGAAUUCUCGGUGUAGAGGUGAAAUUCGUAGAUAUCGAGAGGAACACCGGUGGCGAAGACGGCCUUCUGGACAGUGACUGACGCUGAGACGCGAAAGCGUGGGGAGCAAACAGG
rnacentral:rRNA from 1 species